rnacentral:rRNA from 1 species
UGCAGUCGAACGAUGACUUCUGUGCUUGCACAGAAUGAUUAGUGGCGAACGGGUGAGUAACACGUGAGUAACCUGCCCUUGACUUCGGGAUAAGCCUGGGAAACCGGGUCUAAUACCGGAUACGACCUCCUGGCGCAUGCCAUGGGGGUGGAAAGCUUUAUGCGGUUUUGGAUGGACUCGCGGCCUAUCAGCUUGUUGGCGGGGUAAUGGCCCACCAAGGCGACGACGGGUAGCCGGCCUGAGAGGGUGACCGGCCACACUGGGACUGAGACACGGCCCAGACUCCUACGGGAGGCAGCAGUGGGGAAUAUUGCACAAUGGGCGAAAGCCUGAUGCAGCGACGCCGCGUGAGGGACGAAUGCCUUCGGGUUGUAAACCUCUUUCAGCAGGGAAGAAGCGAAAGUGACGGUACCUGCAGAAGAAGCGCCGGCUAACUACGUGCCAGCAGCCGCGGUAAUACGUAGGGCGCAAGCGUUAUCCGGAAUUAUUGGGCGUAAAGAGCUCGUAGGCGGUUUGUCGCGUCUGCUGUGAAAGCCCGGGGCUCAACCCCGGGUCUGCAGUGGGUACGGGCAGACUAGAGUGCAGUAGGGGAGACUGGAAUUCCUGGUGUAGCGGUGAAAUGCGCAGAUAUCAGGAGGAACACCGAUGGCGAAGGCAGGUCUCUGGGCUGUAACUGACGCUGAGGAGCGAAAGCAUGGGGAGCGAACAGGAUUAGAUACCCUGGUAGUCCAUGCCGUAAACGUUGGGCACUAGGUGUGGGGGACAUUCCACGUUUUCCGCGCCGUAGCUAACGCAUUAAGUGCCCCGCCUGGGGAGUANGGCCGCAAGGCUAAAACUCAAAGGAAUUGACGGGGGCCCGCACAAGCGGCGGAGCAUGCGGAUUAAUUCGAUGCAACGCGAAGAACCUUACCAAGGCUUGACAUGAACCGGUAAGACCUGGNAACAGGUCCCCCACUUGUG